UACGGAGGGAGCUAGCGUUGUUCGGAAUUACUGGGCGUAAAGCGCACGUAGGCGGACUAUUAAGUCAGGGGUGAAAUCCCGGGGCUCAACCCCGGAACUGCCUUUGAUACUGGUAGUCUCGAGUCCGGAAGAGGUGAGUGGAAUUCCGAGUGUAGAGGUGAAAUUCGUAGAUAUUCGGAGGAACACCAGUGGCGAAGGCGGCUCACUGGUCCGGUACUGACGCUGAGGUGCGAAAGCGUGGGGAGCAAACAGG
rnacentral:rRNA from 1 species